GCUAACCAAUUACGAAGGGUUUUGAAUUGGUCAAUUAGUCGUUGCAACUGGAUGAAUAGUCGUGAACAAUCACAAAUUUCGCUUAUACACUUAAUUGUGUGUAAGAUUGAACAUUUGUGGACGUACCUUGAACAAAUCGGUUUGUUCAAAACAGGCCAUAUCGAGCGCCUGGACAUUCGAGCAUGGAAUGAUCGAUCGAGACCUGAUCGUUUGGUCGGAAACGAGUAAGGUCCAGGUCAAAAGGGACAUUUGGGGGCAUACGAACUCGGCAGCGAGAGGUGAAAUUCUAAGACCUGCCGAGGUCGAACUAAAGCGAAAGCAUUUGCCAAGAAUGUUUUCAUUGAUCAAGAACGAAAGUUGGAGGAUCAAAAACGAUCAGAUACCGUUGUAGUUCCAACUUUAAACUAUGCCGACUGUAGGGGCCAGUUCGGUAUAUCCGUACUUAUUGACCUCCCAGGGAAACCAUAGUAGGGUUCUGGGGGGAGUACGGUCGCAAGUCUGAAACUUAAAGGAAUUGACGGAAGGGCACCACCAGGAGUGGAUCCUGCGGCUUAAUUUGACUCAACACGGGGAAACUUACCCGGUCCGGACACCGAUAGGAUUGACAGACUAAUCGCUCUUUCAUGAUACGGUGAUGAGUGGUGCAUGGCCGUUCAUAGUUGGUGGAGCGAUUUGUCUGGUUAAUUCCGUUAACGAACGAGACUAAAACCUUCAUUUCGUUUGCCAAUCAUGUUCUACGCUUUUAUCGGCUGAGAGCUAGACUUGAACAAACUAUUUGAAUGGGAUUAACGCCGUAAUCGAAAGGCGUUUGAAAUUUUUCAAUAACAGGUCUGUGAUGCCCUUAGAUGUCCGGGGCCGCACGCGGGAUACACUGGUGGUUGCAAAGAGUACUUAGGGAGAAAUCCUCGAGUAACCUCACGAACAACCAUCGUGACGGGGACUGAACCUUGCAAUUAUGGUUCACGAACGAGGAAUUUCUAGUAAGCGCUAGUCACCAUCUAGCGCUGAAUAUGUCCCUGCCCUUUGUACACACCGCCCGUCGCUACUACCGAUUGAAUGACUUAGCGAGAACUUGGUGGUAGCAUUU
rnacentral:rRNA from 1 species